UCGGAAGAGCUCAGGCUGCCAUAAGUAUCAGACGGUGCCCAUGCAAAGAGGCAACUACACGGCAGGCCAGGGGGGUGAAGGCACAGAACGGACACCAUUGGACGGGAGCAAAGAUGAUGGGUCCAUGGCUCCUGUCUCAGCCGGGGACAGGAGAUGGGAGACCGCAUGCAAGUGGCUUUGCAAAUAAAAGGCUCCAACUUUGCAAAUAAAAGCCUGUGUUCUACUCACACGUGCCCCACACAACCAGGCUGCAGCCGUGAGCAAAGGAGUUGCAGCAUUUAUUUCAUAACUAUCCAUGUCUCCCACUUCACCAACUUCCUGAAGAUCUCCGACUUUACCCAGGCUCCUGAAAACAGCAUCAGCCGCUGCUUGCUGCAAAAGGCCAUCGCAGGCUGUGCCCCCGAGUCCCGGGCCACACCCUGAGAUCAGCACUAUCAUCACACCUGUGCCACGCACCUGUGAUGUCCCGAGUGCACUGGCCUCCCCGGCAGGGGCAGAGUGUCCAUUUUCCCUUGCUUGUUUAGCAUCUCUCUCCUCAUUAGGACGGACGCACCACGUGCCUGGGCCUGUUCUCCAUCUGAUUCCCCGAGGUAGUCCCGGCUUCUAGAACAGUUACUGACACGUUGUUGGCGCUCGGUCACCACCUGAGAAGGGGCUGCAUGGACCGACCUCAGCAUCCCGGGCCGCCCUUGAGUGCCUUGCCCUGCCCCGGCACCGCCCGUGUCUUUCCUAUUCUCAGUCUUUUCCACUUGACACUCAGCAUUUCCGUCUUCCUUACAAAGUCAUUGAAAGAGGAAACUAACAGAAAUGAUCCCACAUGGAGAAUUAGAUUCAUCUUUUCCCCGUCUCGUCUCGAGCGGGGACCUGCGCGCUAAGGGAGGCGCUUUCUCGGCCUCGUCUCAACUGAGCCAAUUUGCGGGAAGAGCUGGGGAGGAUCCGGGGCAGGAGCUCUUCCACGCCUGGCCACAGACGCGGCUGGGACUACAGCCGCACCACGCCCGGCGGGAUUCAGACUCGGCCCCACGCUACACGCCACCAGGCAGACAUUGGACAAAAGGUGGGAGGUGUUUCCCCCAGGGACCGACAGCUGGGCAUUGUGUACCUCCAGAUGGGAUACCCUGCGGAGGACACAGCAUCCCCCAGGACCCCACAUCCCAGCACUGACGAUUGUCACAGAGAAAUGCACGAAGUCCAAGCCCUGGCGCUGCUGCCUGUCCCCGCUGACGUCCCUGCUGAGCGGCUGGGUCACCAUGACCUCCCAUGGUGUUACCUGAGGGCAAAUAAUACUGGUGACUAAGACUCGGCCUUCCUGGCCUCACCCACAGAAGGGAGUCACAGGAGUGCACCUGCUCCGGCUUGUUUGGGGAGGGCAAGGGGAACUAAUACAUAGAAAGAAUGCGAGUGCUUCCGAAAGUUCAUAGAAAUGGAAUAAAAGGUAAGUCUAUUUGGGUGCAAAGAAAAACCCUUUGAAAUCCAGGCGUAGUUUCUUGCUUAUCCACAUUUUCCAUGAACUCUGUGAAGAUCCCUCCUACAAAGAAGUACAACUCGGUUGGUGUUCGGUCAACAUCAGCAGGCUCCCGGCCAGCUCUAGUGGACCAUGUUCUGUGCCCGGCUCUCCAGCGACCUCAUUGCACCCCCAUCAGUCAGGGCUUCUCAUUCCCCUGGAAGAGUGAAGGGGCUGAGGAUCCGAGUGGUGCCCGGACUUCCGGCCACACUGCUGGCGCAGGGCUAGAGUCGGGGUUUGGAUCCACACCCGCCUGCACACUCGCGAGUGCAACCAGAAUCUCCACUUUCCCUCUCCCGUUCUUGACUCACCAGGGAGUCAUUUCCUGUACCAUUAGCUGCUUCAAUGCUCCUGUGCCCACUGAGCCCUCCGCCUGCCUCCAGGCCUGUCCUUAUCAGGGAUUUGCUAGAAGGGGAUCCAGUGGGCUUUGACGCACUAAUGGUGCCAAGCCUUCUCUGAUCAAGUUCUUCACAGCUCUUGCCCUCUCUGACGCUGUAGAUUUGAUAUUUUUUGCUGAUUAUCAAAAUACAUAGACAGUAGUCCCUUCCUAACCCCGUCCCCUUACCACUGGUGAAACCUAAGCUCCCUGGCAUGGGGACUAGAUUUGGGUAGCAUGUAAGGUGUGGCUUUCGCCCUAAUACCUAGACCAUUCACAUGCAACAGGGUAUCAUCAUACAGUUUAAGAAGGAACUUGCAAAACCAUCAUAGACAUUUGCAUGUUUAUGGGUGGGGAAAUCCAGAGAGGUUAGGUGACUUCCCUAAGCUCACACAGCUUGGGGUCAAAGCCAUAGAGUAAGCACUGAAUUUUUUUGGGUUCCCCAUCAAGCAAAGGACAGUUCCCGACCCACUUUGUCCUUCUCUUCCAAGCUGAAGGAGGCAGGAAGCACAAGGCACAACCUCGUCAUGUUCUGAAAUCUUUAUUGUUUAUUAAUGCAACAUCACGUGGCGGGGCUGGGGCAUUUGACCUAGGCCUCGCCUUGGCUGUCGGAUACCAUCUCCAAACCAUUAACAGAAUGCAAGUUUACAUUUGUGUCCACUCAGAGACCAUGCUCCUCUGUGGUAACGUGUCCUGUACACCCUAUGGUCCUGUAUAUAGCACAGUGUCAGUGCAACAAAGGUGAAUCGUGACUGUGUGUGUGUUUUCAGGCUCUUGUUUUGUUCAAUGUAAACACUGAAAAAAAAGCUCCAUAAUUUUUGGUAACUUUUCUUUAGAGCUCUCUGUUGUUAUUUCUUAAGAUGCCUCAUGGGGGUGGGCCUGGCCAGCUUCUGUGUGGUCCUGCACCUGUUUACCAUCCAUAUUCCUGGAGGUCCGUCCCCAUCUUCUUUGUUCUGAGGCCCACGGCUCUCUGGAGAGCUCGGAGAGGAGACAGUCUGCUUAGGCACAAGCUCCAACAGGCAGGGCUGGUUGUGCAACUUACUUACCCCUUCAGCCUUGUGCAUCUCUCGUCAGCUCAGCCCUCUGCCUGGUUG